GAUGAACGCUGGCGGCGUGCCUAACACAUGCAAGUCGAGCGAACGGACGAGAAGCUUGCUUCUCUGCUGUUAGCGGCGGACGGGUGAGUAACACGUGGAUAACCUAUCUAUAAUACUGGGAUCACCUCGUGAAACCGGAGCUAAUACCGGCCAAUAUUUUGAACCGCAUGGUUCAAAAGUGAAAGACGGUCUUGCUGUCACUUAUAGAUGGAUCCGCGGUGAAUUAGCUAUUUGGUAAGGUAACGGCUUAACAAGGCGACGAUGCAUAAGCGACCUGAGAGGGUGAACGGCCACACGGGAAGUGAGACACGGUCCAGACUCCUACGGGAAGCAGCAGUAGGGAAUCUUACGCAAUGGACGAAAGCCUGACGGAGCAACGCCGCGUGAGUGAUGAAGGUCUUCGGAUCGUAAAACUCUGUUAUUAGGGAAGAAGAUAUGUGUAAGUAACUGUGAACAUCUUGACGGUACCUAAUCAGAAAGCCACGGCUAACUACGUG
rnacentral:rRNA from 1 species